rnacentral:lncRNA from 1 species
AUCAUGAUGCUACAGUAACUUGAGGCAUGAUUCUGAGCCUCUCCUAUUUUCGGUUUGGUUUACUGCUAGCUAGGGCUAAGUGUUGUGAAAAAAUUUGUGUUUGGUUUCGUAGAUCUUUUGAUCGAUGAUCAAAACUUGUGUAUUUUGAGUGGUUUGAUGUAACUUUGGUUCUCUUGGACGGCGAUUUGCAUGGUGGAACGGGUUUCAGCUCCUGAGCCCCCCAAAUUAGGCCACGUUUGGUCGAGCUGGGUCACCAAUCUCUGUUGUUCUAUCUGAUUUUCGUUUUAUUAUUUGAGUACUUAAGUAUAUAGUGUUCGAUUACAGUUCUUAGUCAUCAGCAAAUAACCCAACAUAAAUGAAUAAGUUUAAUUAUCACAUAAUGAGAGCAAGCAAUAUUCUCCCUUUUUUAGAUAAUCGUAACUAUAAUUAAUAUUUUUCUUUUUUGCACUGUGCAACAUAUGAUUUUCAUAGGUUACGAGCAAUUCUAACUGUGAAAUUACUUCGGGCCCUCUCAAUAAUGUGGUUAACAUUUCUUAUUUAAUUUAUUAAAGUUGUUUUCUAAAUUGUUUCAAUUCUGACUGAUCUUGCAUUUGCUCAAAAAUAUUUUGCAUGACUGCGUUUUCUAUACAACUAUUAUUACUUUAAAUAACAGAAAAAAUGUCACAUUACGUUUUUCAAAAUCACUUGCAGUGGACAUGUUAUCAGCUAGUGAAAAAUGAUAGUUCUUCUUUUAUCUUUUACAGAAAAAAAAAAAAAAAAAGAAGAAGUUAUUUUGAACUUCUUUCUUUUUGUUGAUAAUAAUGUUGCAUGCAAAUGCAUGAGUAAAAUUGAAGUAAAUAUUAAGAAAAAAGAAGAAUGGUACAAUAGAACUUCCGGAACUCAAACAGUAGUGCAAGGAAUGAACAGUUGAACUUGAUGAAUCCCACACGCGAUAACUACUCUGGGAACCAACAGACCAUUCAGGAAUGAGACCAGUUGAACUAUGUACCUACUCACAAUGGCUAUUAUGGAAAUCAGCUAACAAUACAAGGAUUGGGUAAAAGGGAAUUGUCCCUGCUCCAAGUUUCACAUACGGCAUUCGGGAGGAAAGCAAUGUAAGGUCCACCUAAUUCCAUGAUGAUGCAACAAGACAUGCUUGAGGGCUACCUUCCUAGCUGCUAAUAAGACGGCAGAGAUCUUUCAUUGAAGUUAAAAUGUUGAAUUCUCAUUUUCUUUGUGGUGGAGAAAAAAUUACUGCACGGGAAAAUCUAUCAUUUGUCCAUAACCUAAGAAAGCUUAGAAUAUAA